rnacentral:misc_RNA from 1 species
CCUUCAAUCCAAAUUAAAAAACACUUGCAAUGAAAAUUACAAUGAACACAAUCUUGACAGUAAAAAAUUCAUCAAACACAAGAAAAUGGUAACUUUUGCAUCGAGAUUUGUAAACUAUGAUUGGGAAUCAUUGUGAUUUUCAUCACCACUAUCACUAUCUUGAUGCUGCGUUUGAUUAUGAUGCUCCAAAUUCAUACCCAAAUCAACUCUACUGUUAUUAUUAUUAUUAUUAUAUGCAUUCAACAUUCCCAUAUUUGACCCCAAUUGUUGAACCGGAUGUGACUGCUGCAAAACCAUUGAACCUAACUGAACCGGACUGAACCGUCCUCCACCGGGAAACUCCAACCCACCAAUUCUUGAACUCUUGUACUGCCACAAUUGGUGGUCCGAUUGACCCGCUCCAACUGAAACCGCCGUUGAACCGGUGCCUCCGCUUACUGGUAACAUCCAGAACCCGUUACCAACGUUGCCACCAGCUGGUGCAACCGCCCACAUGGCUUGACCCGGGAUUAAAUUCGAACCGGGUUUUGAAGAAUCUGAACCGGGUUUAUCAGGUGAAGGGGAGGUGGCGCCACUGGUAGUAGUAUCUUCUCUGAAUCGUUUUUUCAUGUAAUUUUCAUCUGGGUCUUGGAUAAAACCGGUGUUGGCAGUGGAUAGAUGGUGGUGGAAGCCUAACAUAGCGGCGGAGGCGGAGGCGGAGGCGCCGUGGAUGAAAAGAGGUGCAGAUUUUGACGGCGGAGCUGAAAUUGUUGUACCGCUGCUACGUGUAGAAACGUUAAGAGUUGAGAAAUUAGCCGGGAUUGUACCAGUUCCGGUGGUAGCAAUAAUUGCCGGUUCUGCUUGUUGCAAUAGCCACUCAAUGGUUUCUCCGUCAGAUUUAUGCCCCAAUUCUCUAGUGAGUUGAAAAACCCUGGCGGCGCAUAAAGCAGGCAUGCGUAUGCGCCGCCCACGACCGUCCACCUUAGUAUGACGGUCUUUAGAAGGUUUUUUAGCUACC